rnacentral:rRNA from 1 species
CAGCAGCCGCGGGAAUACGUAGGGUGCGAGCGUUAAUCGGAAUUACUGGGCGUAAAGCGGGCGCAGACGGUUACUUAAGCAGGAUGUGAAAUCCCCGGGCUCAACCUGGGAACUGCGUUCUGAACUGGGUGACUAGAGUGUGUCAGAGGGAGGUAGAAUUCCACGUGUAGCAGUGGAAUGCGUAGAGAUGUGGAGGAAUACCGAUGGCGAAGGCAGCCUCCUGGGAUAACACUGACGUUCAUGCCCGAAAGCGUGGGUAGCAAACAGGAUUAGAUACCCGAGUAGUCCCUGUCUCUUAUAC